UCCUACGGGAGGCAGCAGUAGGGAAUCUUCCGCAAUGGACGAAAGUCUGACGGAGCAACGCCGCGUGAGUGAUGAAGGCUUUCGGGUCGUAAAACUCUGUUGUUAGGGAAGAACAAGUGCUAGUUGAAUAAGCUGGCACCUUGACGGUACCUAACCAGAAAGCCACGGCUAACUACGUGCCAGCAGCCGCGGUAAUACGUAGGUCCCGAGCGUUGUCCGGAUUUAUUGGGCGUAAAGCGAGCGCAGGUGGUUUAAUAAGUCUGAUGUAAAAGGCAGUGGCUCAACCAUUGUGUGCAUUGGAAACUGUUAGACUUGAGUGCAGUAGAGGAGAGUGGAAUUCCAUGUGUAGCGGUGAAAUGCGUAGAUAUAUGGAGGAACACCGGUGGCGAAAGCGGCUCUCUGGACUGUAACUGACACUGAGGCUCGAAAGCGUGGGUAGCAAACAGGAUUAGAUACCCUGGUAGUCCACGCCGUAAACGAUGAGUGCUAGUUGUUUGGGGCUAUCCAGCCCUAAGUGACGCAGCAAACGCAUUAAGCACUCCGCCUGGGGAGUACGACCGCAAGGUUGAAACUCAAAGGAAUUGACGGA
rnacentral:rRNA from 1 species